AGGGGGCAAGUGUGUUAGCUGUAGCCACAGACUGCAGGCUACACCCAGGCGGGGAGACCCGGGCCCAGCAGCAGGUCAGCCGGUUAGACGGUGGGCACAGACAGUCCUCUGUGACGGGGCAGCCUUCGUGUUAGCGAUAGAGCAGGCAGGAUAGUCAGCAGGACAGCCUCGGUCAGGCGUCUGUAGCAAGGCGCGCAAGAUCGGAGUAUCCAGCCGCAGAGAGCACAGAGGAGACCUGCCAGUCCCGUACAGGUGUCCUCUGUCAAGAGCUUGUGUUGUCUUGCCUGUGGCAACUACAGCAGGAAAGGCGACAACGUUUGGAUCUUUGGGAGAGACCCAUGGGAGAGAUGUCAGUCGGUGACAAGGGACCGGUCCGUUCCCCAAAGGGGACAGCGGAGAAGGGGUGAUAAUGGUGGUGAUAGGCUUGGUAGAGCCCCUCAGGAGAAAACCACAUUGUUAUUGUUCACACACAUACAUACACACCCACGCACACACAAACACACUUUCCCUCAAAAACACAACAUGGAUACAUUAUUUUGUUACAUGUUUGCAAAUGCCAAAAUACAUGUAAAUAAAUAUAUGUGUGUGUGUGUGUGUGUGUGUGUGUGUGGAAGAAAACUCUGAAACACAUGCUUGUUUUGUUUUCUUUAUAGGUUGAAUAUUACUUCCUCAAAUACAUAGUAUUUCUUUACAAAUAUUGUAAGAAAAUGAGAGCACAGUUAACAGACGUCUUUCCAUUUAAUAAAUAUGAUUAUAAAUGCAUAAAAUGAUUACACACAGCACAGUUGAGGUCAAACAAAAACACUGUAACACCUUACCGUCUGUUCUUAUACAAAAGCUGUACAGUAAUAAAACUCUUUUUUUUUCUAAUUGUUAUUAAUAUUUAUCUAAAAAAAUAACAAUCUUGCUAAUUCUGCGGGGAGGAAGAUAUAGAGAGAGGGAAAGAGCAAGAAAGAGUAGCUGAAAGCUAGUCUGCAACGUGAUACUGUUUUGCACGCUAUCGGGUGCUGUCACAUCACAGCUCCUAACCAGGAGGUCAGUGUUAGCAGGACUUCCUGUCUGUUGGACCUUUCCUGCUGCCAGUGAACCCAGAGGCAGAAGGUACUUUUAUCUUGA